rnacentral:rRNA from 1 species
AGGGUUUGAUCAUGGCUCAGAAUGAACGUUGGCGGCGUGGAUUAGGCAUGCAAGUCGAGCGAGAAUUUUAUUGUUGAAGCUUCGGCCGAUUCAAUAGAAGGAAAGCGGCAAACGGCGUAGUAAUGCGUAGGUACGUACCCUCAGGUUGGGAAUAGCCACGGGAAACUGUGGGUAAUGCCCAAUAAUAUCUGCGGAUCAAAGGUGUGAUUCCGCCUGAGGAGCGGCUUACGUGAUAUUAGCUUGUUGGUGGGGUAAUGGCCUACCAAGGCAACGAUGUCUAGGGGGUGUGAGAGCAUGGCCCCCACGACCGGAACUGAGACACUGUCCGGACACCUACGGGUGGCUGCAGUCGAGAAUCUUCCGCAAUGGGCGAAAGCCUGACGGAGCGACGCCGCGUGCGGGAUGAAGGCCCUUGGGUUGUAAACCGCUGUCAGAGGGGAUGAAAUCAUGGUUGGCUAUCCUUCCAUGUUGACAGAGCCUCAAAGGAAGCACGGGCUAAGUACGUGCCAGCAGCCGCGGUAACACGUACUGUGCGAACGUUAUUCGGAAUCACUGGGCUUAAAGGGUACGUAGGCGGUUUAUCAAGUCAGGUGUGAAAUGCCUGAGCUCAACUGAGGCACUGCGCUUGAAACUGAUAAACUAGAGUAUUCCAGGGGUGUGCGGAACUGCCAGUGGAGCG